GAUGAACGCUGGCGGCGUGCCUAAUACAUGCAAGUCGAGCGAACGGACGAGAAGCUUGCUUCUCUGAUGUUAGCGGCGGACGGGUGAGUAACACGUGGAUAACCUACCUAUAAGACUGGGAUAACUUCGGGAAACCGGAGCUAAUACCGGAUAAUAUUUUGAACCGCAUGGUUCAAAAGUGAAAGACGGUCUUGCUGUCACUUAUAGAUGGAUCCGCGCUGCAUUAGCUAGUUGGUAAGGUAACGGCUUACCAAGGCAACGAUGCAUAGCCGACCUGAGAGGGUGAUCAGCCACACUGGAACUGAGACACGGUCCAGACUCCUACGGAAGGCAGCAGUAGGGAAUCUUCCGCAAUGGGCGAAAGCCUGACGGAGCAACGCCGCGUGAGUGAUGAAGGUCUUCGGAUCGUAAAACUCUGUUAUUAGGGAAGAACAUAUGUGUAAGUAACUGUGCACAUCUUGACGGUACCUAAUCAGAAAGCCACGGCUAACUACGUG
rnacentral:rRNA from 1 species